GACGAACGCUGGCGGCGUGCUUAACACAUGCAAGUCGAACGGAAAGGCCCUGCUUUUGUGGGGUGCCCGAGUGGCGAACGGGUGAGUAACACGUGAGUAAUCUGCCCUUGACUUUGGGAUAACUUCAGGAAACUGGGGCUAAUACCGGAUAGGAGCUCCUGCUGCAUGGUGGGGGUUGGAAAGUUUCGGCGGUUGGGGAUGGACUCGCGGCUUAUCAGCUUGUUGGUGGGGUAGUGGCUUACCAAGGCUUUGACGGGUAGCCGGCCUGAGAGGGUGACCGGCCACAUUGGGACUGAGAUACGGCCCAGACUCCUACGGGAGGCAGCAGUGGGGAAUAUUGCACAAUGGGCGGAAGCCUGAUGCAGCAACGCCGCGUGCGGGAUGACGGCCUUCGGGUUGUAAACCGCUUUCGCCUGUGACGAAGCGUGGGUGACGGUAAUGGGUAAAGAAGCACCGGCUAACUACGUG
rnacentral:rRNA from 1 species